UAGGGAAUCUUCGGCAAUGGGGGCAACCCUGACCGAGCAACGCCGCGUGAGUGAAGAAGGUUUUCGGAUCGUAAAGCUCUGUUGUAAGAGAAGAACGUGUGUGAGAGUGGAAAGUUCACACAGUGACGGUAACUUACCAGAAAGGGACGGCUAACUACGUGCCAGCAGCCGCGGUAAUACGUAGGUCCCGAGCGUUGUCCGGAUUUAUUGGGCGUAAAGCGAGCGCAGGCGGUUUAAUAAGUCUGAAGUAAAAGGCAGUGGCUUAACCAUUGUUCGCUUUGGAAACUGUUAAACUUGAGUGCAGAAGGGGAGAGUGGAAUUCCAUGUGUAGCGGUGAAAUGCGUAGAUAUAUGGAGGAACACCGGUGGCGAAAGCGGCUCUCUGGUCUGUAACUGACGCUGAGGCUCGAAAGCGUGGGGAGCAAACAGG
rnacentral:rRNA from 1 species